UACAGAGGUGGCAAGCGUUGUUCGGAAUUACUGGGCGUAAAGGGCGCGUAGGCGGUUCGAUAAGUCCCGUGUGAAAUCCCUCGGCUCAACUGAGGAAUGGCACGGGAAACUGACGGGCUUGAGUUCGGGAGAGGGAAGCGGAAUUCCGGGUGUAGCGGUGAAAUGCGUAGAUAUCCGGAGGAACACCGGUGGCGAAGGCGGCUUCCUGGACCGACACUGACGCUGAGGUGCGAAAGCGUGGGGAGCAAACAGG
rnacentral:rRNA from 1 species